GAUUUUUAUUUUAUUUUAUUUUUAAAAUGCCUUUUCUUAAAUAUAUUAAGACUCACACCGAGCUCUCUGCAGAGUAAACAGAGGCAUGUAUUCCUCAUCAAGACAGUGAUUGACGUCCAUGUUGCCUUAACACAUUAAUGACUAGUUGUCAUCUUUUUAUAUUUUGACUGUGUGUGCGACUUACUAUAAAUAUUGUUAAAACCCUCCAGGAAUACUCGUGAUGUAAUGUCCAUCAUUUCUUCAAAAGCAUUAAAAGUGUGUCAGGAUUAAAUCUCAUUUUUGCAGAAUUAUUGCCAUGUAUCCAUGUAUGUCUUUAUAUUAUAUUUAUAUAUAGCUGCAGCACAGUGUACUAACCUGAAAAAGAAAUCAGUGUCAGUUACUGAAUUAAAUACAUUUUAAAGGUUAGACAAAGGGAGAUUUAGUGCAUCUCUUGUCGGAAGAAGAAACUUUUAAAGCUCAAAAGAAAAGUCCGAGGCACUCGUCUGGCUCGAUUAAAUAGCCCUUCUUAAUAAAAUGGUUUAAAACUGUUUUUAAAACGUUUCAUGAUGAAAUAGCCAUCUUAAUAAAGUUUUUUUUACAUUUUUCCGAGCCAGAGGAGUGCCUUGGACUUUUCUUUUGAACUUUGCUACGUAUGUGUUAGAGCACACUCGUUAUAUGCAUAAAAAAACUUCCUGAGCAACCUGGACCCUCUUGUUUUUUUUUUCCAUUUUUACCCAAGAGAUCUCUUUAUGAGCUUGUUUACUUUAAAACAAAUCCACAGCAGUUAUAUUUUUCAGUGGAUAAACGACUGAAAACUGUCCCUGCUCACCUGACGCAGUUCAUCUUUAAACGAGAUGUGCAGUUCCUCAGAUGGGACACAUGGGGGCAACAGAGAGCUGGCAGUAGGGCCAGGUUUAGUUGAGGAGGGUCAAACCUGUUCCUCCUCAGACCUCCUUCUAAUUAGCCCUGAUUUAAUUAACCGGCUUGGUUAAAUUUGCUAACCAAUCACGACGGACACAAGUUAAAUUUGCAUGACGCCGUUUGCACUUAGCUGAAGCGACAGGGGCUGAAGGUCGGGUCAUCAACCACGUGACACCUGUCAGGCCCCCCCCUCACCUUGAAAGCCGGGUACCUUACCCGUGAUGCAACAGCGGAGACAGGCCCACCGCGCACACAUGCACCGCGUCCUCACCCCGCAGCCAUCUGCUGCCGGUCAAAGGGACAGAGGCACUGAAGGAAUUUAGUGUGUUGAAUUUCCCGAAUAACAGAGCAUCUUAUUUGGAUUCUGCCAUUGUAUGUGUGUAUUCAGAAGGGGCCAAGUGGAGCGAUGAAGUUUGCCAUUGUCGCCCAGUGUGGGUGUUUUCAGACUCUCUGGCAUGAUCUGUGAGUUAGUGUUCUCUGUGUUACUGCCCAGUGUGCCCACUGUCUUUCCCACAAUGCCCCAUUCAGCCCCGGGCCUCUCUCUCUCUCUCUCUCUCUCUCCCUCUCUCUCUCUCUCUCCAGUCCUCUCAGACUGAGCCCAGUUUGUGCCCCAGGCUAAUAGUAUUAAUCAUCAUCAUCAUCAUCAUCAUCACCAUCAUCAUCUGGGCUACAAACGAACAUUUUUUUUUUUCUCUCAGCCGUGGGAUAAAAUAGCUGUGACGUCACCUUUGUUGUCUUUUUCAGCAACUCUUGUUUUCAUCUUCUCCUUCCUCUUCCUCCUCCUCCUCUCUUUCUUUCUUUCUUUCUUUCUUUCUUUCUUUCUUUCUUUCUUUCUGUCUCUCUGAGCUCCCAAACACAAAAGACAGAGAGGCCACGACAGGACCCCAGUGUAUGCUGGUCGUCAAGGAGACAAGGAGACAGUGUUGGGUCUUUAAACUGCCUCAGAGGGGUGUGUGGAGUUAGGGGGAGUUGGCCUUAUUUACAUGGGAAGAGGACAAGGGGAGCGAGAGACAGAGGGGAAGGGAAAAGAGAAAGAGGGAGAGGGGUUUGAAACACAACUUUCGAGUCGUUUCCCUGCGACUUAUUCGGCUAAAAAUCAUUCCACCAUCAAAUGUUUGCAAAACGGCAGCAGAGGAGGAGGAGGAGGAGGAAACCUGGUAGCCGCGCUCAUUGCGCGCGACGUACAUCAACCUGCCCUUUUAUCCCUCGCGCUCUUCUCCCCUCAUCGCCGUUUUCGCGCACGCACGCACGCUCUCUGAUUGUGAGCUGUGGGAGCCGUGGGCCCCAGAGUUGGCAGCAGGCGAGGGCUGACUGCAGAAUACAUUACCAGAUGCUUGAGGAGUGUUUAAAAAAGCGGACUCGGAGAACGGGAAUUAGAAAACAGGGGCUGGGGCUGCGGCCGCGGAACAGGCUCAACUCCAAGCCCGAAGUUCAAUAUCAACCCCCCGACUCCACAAUGAAAGCAGGAAGGGCAGGGAGAGGACGAAUGAGCCACCCACGGCUGCAUUCAGAAACCCGUGUGAUUCUUUUUUUGUUUUGUUUUUUUCCUUUUUUCUCAAAUGUGCAGAAAGUUUUACUUUCACCUUAACUUGUCCUUUGACUACCCACAUUUAUUUUCAUGUGUUUUACUUAAAUUAAAACAAAUUUAUUUAGAGUUCAAAUGUGUUUGCUGUACUUUUUUUUUUUUUUUUUUUAAACUUCAGGGACAGCCUGUGAUCCGGUGCAAUAUUAACUCAGACUGCAGAUGUUUGAGGGCGAGCUUGCACAAUCAAUUUCCCCUCAAUUCCCCAGCCAUCUCCAAAAACCUGAACCCCUCCUUCCCUUCCCUUCCACCCCUCUGUUUUUUUUUUUCUGUUAUACAUGUGCAUGCCUGUGAGAAACCAUGGUGAGCUGGGUGUUUUCUUCUCUCUUAUUACACACAUCCAUGUGUGCAAUGUCCACUUAAAGCGCAGGGGAAGGCAAGAACGCAGGAAAAAAAAAAAAAAGGAGAAGUGGGAAAAACAUGUUGUGGCCUUUUCCCUGCAUUUUGUCAAAAGUGUCUGCUUGCGGGGUUUUCUUUUCAUCCUCCUCCUCUUUGUGUCUAAGAGGUGAUUAGUAUGCGGAAAGGAAGCUGAUUUGCAUAAUUAAGAGCCACAGAGAAAAAGCAACAAAGUUUGUUAGUUUUACAACUAUGAGUUUAAUAGUGUACAAAGAGUUAUUCCUGCUCAGAAUAAAAGUUAAAAUUCUUCCAACACAUCUUUUUUUUAUUAUUAUUUAUUUGUUUUUUAGACACACACGUUUUUUUUUUCGUUUUUUUUUUAAAGGAAUCCAAAGCAAAGACCAUGAAAGUGGUUAAUAAUCACAGAAGUGGUAACAGUUAGUAACCUACACUUUGCACCGAAGAGUAGAUUAAUGUCGUACUACACUGUUAAUUGUCACACUCACAGUUUACAAAAAAAGGCACAGGAGGCAAGCAACGCUGAUCUCAAAGACUCAAGUUAAUACAGGGAACAUCCAGUUCAUCAGGAGACAGAAAGUGUCGUUAAAAGUACUCGGCGUGAUAAGGCGUCAUGAUCUCAUCUGAAGAUUUAAUGUUAUUUCCACGUACAAAAUAGAAUAUAAAAAUACAUUAUAAACUCGUUACAGAUGUUACGACUGCAUGGUUUCUCUUAUAUAUCAAGGCUUGGUGUGAAAACUCGACCACGCCCUCCUCUCCCUCUCCCUCUCCCCUCCCCUCCCUCACCCCCAUCAAAAAAAAAAAAAAGAAAAGAAAAGCACAUGCAAAAAUCUAUGGACGACUUCAUCUUCUUCACAAUCAACCAAACAAGAAAAAAAAAACACAUAAAAUAUAACACUGUUCUCUCGAGGCGUCCCCACCUCACACAAACAUGUCAGACGACAAACUGCACCGCGCUCCCAAUUAAAAUGAGACACUUUCUCAUGGUUGUUUUUUUUUUGUUUGUUUUGUUUUCUUGGUGUUGUUGUUUUUUUUUUGGCACUUGGAUCUGAAUUGACAACAGUUGCAGUCUUAAUUGAUACGCUCAAACCCCCCCCCCCUUCAAAUGAUAUCAUUUCGAGCCAGGCACGAGGCCAGGAAGUAAAAGAUUUUAGGUGUAACGUCGCUCCAUCGCUCUCGAUACAUAAAGGCACCGUUGUUCAAGCUGGCACAAAUACUGUAGUGUGACAAAGGCAAAGGCAUCGUUGUGUGGGUCCUCUUAGCUUUUCGGACAAAAGAAGUUCCACCUUCCCUCUGUGUGCGUGCGUGUCUGACUCGCCUUGUUUUUUUUUGUUGUUUUUUUUUUUAAGAAACACUCAAGAGAUACUUUGGCAUUCGCGGAUUUCCAGUUUGUUUCCUCAGCGAGCACCUGCUGAUGGCUUUUUAAGAAGAUUUCUUGUUCAGGCAUGCAUCAAAAACAAAUGAGCGUCUUAAAUGGAAAAAUGCAACUUACGCUCGCCCCAAGAACGAGCAGAAGUGCAGUAGUGUCGCGCUUCCGCUGAGGAAAGAUACUUCGUGGUAUCUCUUCCCGUUUAGUGUUUGUGGAGGGUUUCUGUGCUUGGAUAAGUACCACCGUUAACAGUAGAGUUAUUAAUACAGUCAUUAUUAUUGCAUUGCAUGGGCAGCUCAGAGAGACAAGGGGGGGGGGCUGGUUUGGGAGCACCAGUUUGGGGUCCACUGAUGAGUCUACUGCUUGUGCAUGCUAACAGCGGUUACAGAUUUGAGUGCCAGGUGUUUAGAGAGGACUCCUAGACCGGCUCUGGGCUUUUUUUUUUUUUUUUUU